rfam:Mesocricetus auratus contig106150, whole genome shotgun sequence.
GAUCCCUUUGGCAUCACACAUAUUAAUUGGAAUGAUACAGAGAAAAUUAGCAUGGCUCCUGCAUAAGGAUGACACACAAAUUCAUGAAGCAUUAAAAAAAAAGAAUUUU